GUGCUCACUUCAGCAGCACGUAUACUAAAAUUGGAAUGGUACAGAGAAGAUUAGCAUGGCCCCUGCGUAAGGAUGGGCACACAAAUUCGUGAAGCGUUCCAUAUUUAA
rnacentral:snRNA from 1 species